GCGCCGGUGGCGGAACAGGUAGACGCGCCAGGUUGAGGGCCUGGUGGGCGAAUAGCCCUUGGGAGUUCGAGUCUCCCCCGGCGCACCA
rnacentral:tRNA from 1 species